CACCUCCUCUGCUUUAACUACUCUUUCUACCAGACUCUUGCUCCUAAAACUGAAGUCCUAAACCCAUUGUCCUAGCCCACUACUUCUAAAGCUUCCGCACCAAAUUACAACAGUGGUAUCAAAGCCACAAAUUCUAACACUUGCUCUUCUUACCGAUUGUCCAUCGUCAUUUCUCAAAUCUAAACCACUGCAUCCAUAGCCCUUUUUACUCCAAUGAAGGCAUCGUCAUCAUCCUCAUCGCUUCCAUCGGGGCCACCAUACUCAAGGCCACCGGAGUUCCCUAACUACACGUACGAUGUGUUCUUGAGCUUCAGAGGUGAAGACACACGGAGGACCUUCACGGACCACCUCUACGCGGCACUAGUUCGUGCCGGAGUCAGGACGUUUAGGGAUGCCGAGGGACUAAGAAGGGGAGAAAACAUAGCGGAGGAUUUGGUGGAGAUAAUCCAAGGGUGUAGGAUCUCACUCAUCGUCUUCUCAGAAAAUUACGCGGAUUCGAGUUGGUGCCUCGAGGAGCUGGUGCAGAUCAUGGAGUGUAGAAAAACACAAAGGCAACGGGUUUUCCCAAUAUUCUAUCAUGUCGAUCCUUCACAUGUCAGAAACCAGACCGGUAUCUUUGCUCAUGCGUUUGAGAGACAUGAAGCCACAGUACAUCAAGGUAGAGAUAAGAUAGCAAGGUGGAGAGCUGCUCUUAGAGGAGCGGCGAAUUUGGCUGGCUUCGAUAUUGCUGAUAGGCAUGAAGCAGAGUUUAUCAAUAGCAUUGUUGACGAGAUAUGCAGACAGCUGACCACCCCAUACUUGAAUUUAGCUGUCUAUCCUGUUGGAAUUGAUUCUCGUGUUAAAGAUAUUAGUGAAUAUUUACGUGUUAGAUUAGAUAAUGCUGUUUGCAUGGUUGGAAUUUGGGGUAUGGGUGGAAUCGGCAAAACAACAGUUGCCAAAGCCAUCUAUAACAAAUUUUAUCAUGACUUUGACAGUAGAAGUUUCCUAGCAGAUGUUAGGGAAACAGCAAAGGACUCAAGUGGUAAGAUUGCACUGCAAAAAAGACUUCUUUCUGAUGUCUUAAAACCAACCAAGAUAGAGGUAGGUGAUGUUUCCAAUGGCAUCAAUGUGAUCAAAGAACGACUUAGAAGCAAAAAGGUACUUGUCAUCGUCGACAAUGUCGAUCAUGUGGACCAAUUGACUGCAUUGGCAAUAAGCCGUGAUUCCUUUGGUCUGGGAAGUAUAAUUAUUAUAACAACAAGAGAUCGACAUUUGUUACAACUAGUGAAAGUGGAUAAAAUACAUCUGACACAAGAAAUGAAUGAAGAAGAAGCUCUUGAGCUCUUCAGUCGGCAUGCCUUUCAAAAUUAUUCUCCUAAUGAAGACUAUAUCGAACUCUCAAAAAGAGUGGUUACUUACUGUGGGGGUUUACCACUGGCUCUUGAAAUUUUAGGGUCUUUCCUCUUUGGAAGGAGCAUAGGAGAUUGGAAGAGCACACUGAAGAAAUUGGAAAAAAUUCCUGAUGACACAAUUCAGUCAAAGCUCAGAAUAAGCUUUGAUGCACUUGAGGAGUGGCAGAGGCACAUAUUCCUCCACAUAUGUUGUUUCUUCAUUGGAAUGGACAAAAACCAUGUCAUAAAAAUACUGGAAGGCUGUGGUGUUGCUGCAGGUGUAGCAAUUAGUGUCCUCUCUGAACGUUGCCUCGUAACUGUUAAUGAAAAAGACAAGGUAAUGAUGCAUGAUUUGCUUCGAGACAUGGGCAGAGAAAUUGUUCGUGAAGAAUCCCCGAACCACCCUGAAAGACGUAGUAGAUUGUGGCGUCAAGAAGAUGUAAUAGAUGUUUUGAGAGAUGAAUCUGGAACUGAAGAGACUGAAGGACUCGCUCUAAUUUUGCAAAGAUCUCACAUCUUGAGUAUCAGUAUAGGAGCAUUUAGAAACAUGAGGGGACUGAAAUUGCUCCAACUCAAGUAUGUACUACUCACUGGAGACUGCAACAAGCUUCCCAAAAAGUUAAGAUGGCUCUGCUUGCGAGGAUCCUCUCUGAUCACUCGAGAUGAGUUUCGGGAUGCAAGUUACCUGGUUUCUAUGGACCUGCGGUACAGCGGUCCCGUACGAGUUUGGGAGCAUUUCAGGCGGCUUUGGAAUUUGGAGAUACUUAAUCUCAGUCAUUCACAGUACCUAACAAAAUCACCAGACUUUUCACAACUCCCAAAUCUACAGUAUUUGAUCCUUAAAGACUGUGUGAAUUUGCCAGAGAUUGACAGGUCCAUUGGACUUCUUUCUCAACUUGCCUUGCUAAAUCUUAAAAGCUGCACUAAGCUCAAGGACCUUCCGAAGGAUUUUUAUAAGUUGCGUUCUGUUAGGACUCUUGUUCUUUCUGGCUGUUCGAGAUUUAAGAAGUUGAGCAAGCAUAUAGGAAAAAUGAGGUUGUUGAAAACUCUUGUUAUAAGUGGCACAGCCAUAAGUGAAGUACCAUCCUCGAUAGAUGAAUUGCAAUACCUGGACUUUUCAUCUCGACAAGGCCUGAGUGGACUAAAACGAUUUUCCCAGGAUGAGACAUCAGCAGCCAGGAUUGAGGGCGCUUGUAAGCUUCUUAAAUUAUAAGGAAUGGACAAACCGGUGCUUGGCAAUUAAGUCGCUUUUUCAGAGCCAUAAGCAGAGCUGCAGAAGCCAAUAUGAAGAGUGUAACUUAUGGGAAGCGGCUUAUCAAGUUAUCCUACUGUAGCGGAACAAAGUAAAUGAAACUCUAAAAAUACCAGCUCAGCGUCUCUUUGAAAAAUUACACUCCCAUCCAUUUCUCUUUGUGAUAUCCUGCGCCUCAUCUCACUCUCAAAUUUCAGUCUGUUCUGCCAUGUCUCAUGGAUGAGAACGCUCCAACGGUGACAAAUCACCACGCCAUUCAAAUCUCACUUGUUAUAAAACUUCCGAGUAGGUGGAACGGUAGAGGUCCUGAUUUCUUCAAAUAUUUCCCAAACACCGGCUUGGCCGCCUCUGUCUACAAGUUCAAGAAGCAAAGCAUCAACAACCUGCAGAGAACUAGAGUCCGGUUCUUUGGAGUCAUUACCAGAGGAAGAAGAUAAAGAAGCUUAUGGUGAUGGUGAUGGUGAUGGCAGUGAUGUUGAAAGUGAGAGCAGGAUAAAAAGGCGUAAGGGAGAUAAUUUGGAAAGCGUAGAGGAAACUAAUGGAUCGACUUCACAAGGACUUCCAGAACAAAUUCUGUUGUGUUUUGUUUUAUAACCCCAAACAGUGGAAGAAGACUUCUUGAUACUGUACAAAGUGUUCUGAACUGUCUCAGAUGACGCAGACAUAAGACCAACUUACUUAGGAUUGAGACUUCAAUCGACCGGUUACACAACACGGACGUUAAGAAAUCGCUAAAUAAUAAGAAACUUUAUUUGGUACUGGAUCUUGAUCACACAUGGCUAAAUUCCACCCAGCUGAAUCAUAUGACGGCAGAAGAAGAAUAUUUGAUGAGCCCACCAGAUUCGCUGCCAGAUGAGUUGAAAGGCAGCCUUUUCAGACUGGACUGUAUGCGUAUGAUGACCAAGUUAAGGCCCUUCAUUAGGACAUUUUUGAAGAAAGCCAGUGAAAUGUUUGAAAUGUACAUGUAUAUGGGUGAUUGAGCCUAUGCAUUGGAAAUGGCCAAGUUGCUUGAUCCCAAAAAAAAGAGUACUUUGGUGAUAGGGUGAUAUCACGUGAUGAUGGUACCCAAAAACAUCAAAAGGGUCUAGAUAUUGUGGUUGGGCAAGAAAGUGCUGUUCUGAUACUGGAUGAUACAGAAAAUGUUCUCGAUGUUGCUAUCUGUUAUUGUAGGCAUGGAUAAAGCACAAGGACAAUCUAAUUAUGAUGGAAAGAUAUCAUUUCUUUAGAUCUAGUCGUGCCCAAUUUGGGUUCACUUGUGAGUCUCUUUCAGAGUUGAAGAGUGAUGAGAGUGAGCCUGAAGGCGCUCUUGCAAAUGUUCUUGACCUUCUUAAGCGAAUCCACAAGAUUUUCUUCUAUGAAUUGGGAGGCAAUCUUAUAGAUAGAGACGUAAGGCAGGUUCUGAAAACUGUUAGGAAGGAAGUCUUGAAGGGGUGCAAAGUUGUUUUCAGCCGUAUAAUUCCUUCAAAAGUCCAGGCUGAUAAUCAUCUCCUGUGGAAGAUGGCGGAGCAGCUGGGAGCCAUAUGUUCAACCGAAGUGGAUUCAUCAGUGACCCAUGUAGUUGCAUUAGAUGCAGGAACAGAAAAGUCUCACUGGGCAGUAAAUCAAAAUUCAAAACAAGUUUUUGGUCCAUCCUCUGUGGCUUGAAGCAGCAAAUUAUAAGUGGCGAAAGCAACCUGAACACAAGUUUCCUGUCACUGAAAUGAAAUCGAAAACCCAAAGCCAGUGAUUUGCUAUUUUUUGGAUAUGACUAACCCUGUCCUUGUUGUGGAUAAGUUGAAGUAGAAACUUGGGCGGUAGAUCUUUUCUCACAAAUGUGAGUUUUGAUGCUGAUUCAAAACUAGAGCACCAGAGAGCAGCUGCUUUUACUCUGAAUUUGUAUAUAGAUACACACAACCCGAUUUGUCUGACAAGAAGAGAAGAUAUGUCAAGGCAGUAGGAGGAUAUGGUGGUACACAUUUUUAGCUACUUAAUUUGUUUCUCCGCAGCUGCUGAUCUGUCAUCAUUACAGCUCUUGUAGUUCUAACAGUUCACUGACUCAUGUCUAUUGAUUGUACAAGAAUUACUGAAUCAGUAGCAACACCUUUUUGCUAUCUCAUAAUAUUGAUUAGAAUAAUAUUUUCUUCAAUUUAAUGGCUGGUUUGUAAA